rnacentral:rRNA from 1 species
CGAACGAUGAACCGGUGCUUGCAUCGGGGAUUAGUGGCGAACGGGUGAGUAACACGUGAGUAACCUGCCCUUGACUCUGGGAUAAGCCUGGGAAACUGGGUCUAAUACCGGAUAUGACCUUCCAUCGCAUGGUGGUUGGUGGAAAGCUUUUGUGGUUUUGGAUGGACUCGCGGCCUAUCAGCUUGUUGGUGAGGUAAUGGCUUACCAAGGCGACGACGGGUAGCCGGCCUGAGAGGGUGACCGGCCACACUGGGACUGAGACACGGCCCAGACUCCUACGGGAGGCAGCAGUGGGGAAUAUUGCACAAUGGGCGCAAGCCUGAUGCAGCGACGCCGCGUGAGGGAUGACGGCCUUCGGGUUGUAAACCUCUUUCAGUAGGGAAGAAGCGAAAGUGACGGUACCUGCAGAAGAAGCGCCGGCUAACUACGUGCCAGCAGCCGCGGUAAUACGUAGGGCGCAAGCGUUAUCCGGAAUUAUUGGGCGUAAAGAGCUCGUAGGCGGUUUGUCGCGUCUGCCGUGAAAGUCCGGGGCUCAACUCCGGAUCUGCGGUGGGUACGGGCAGACUAGAGUGAUGUAGGGGAGACUGGAAUUCCUGGUGUAGCGGUGAAAUGCGCAGAUAUCAGGAGGAACACCGAUGGCGAAGGCAGGUCUCUGGGCAUUAACUGACGCUGAGGAGCGAAAGCAUGGGGAGCGAACAGGAUUAGAUACCCUGGUAGUCCAUGCCGUAAACGUUGGGCACUAGGUGUGGGGGACAUUCCACGUUUUCCGCGCCGUAGCUAACGCAUUAAGUGCCCCGCCUGGGGAGUAC